rnacentral:rRNA from 1 species
UGGGGGAUAUUGCACAAUGGGCGAAAGCCUGAUGCAGCGACGCCGCGUGGGGGAUGAAGGCUUUCGGGUUGUAAACCUCUUUCGCUAUCGAACAAGUCCCGCGUAGGGUGGGUUGAGGGUAGGUGGAGAAGAAGCGCCGGCUAACUACGUGCCAGCAGCCGCGGUAAUACGCAGGGCGCGAGCGUUGUCCGGAAUUAUUGGGCGUCAAGGGCUUGUAGUCGGCUUGUUGCGCCUGAUGUGAAAACGCGGGGCUUAACUUCGCGCGUGAAGUGGGUACGGGCAGGCUUGAGUGGAGUAGGGGUGACUGGAAUUCCAGGUGUAGCGGUGGAAUGCGCAGAUAUCUGGAGGAACACCGAUGGCGAAGGCAGGGCACUGGGCCAUUACUGACGCUGAGGAGCGAAAGGAUGGGUAGCGAACAGGA